CUUAGAGAACAAAGAUACUUGUUGAAAAUAAAUAAAUAAAUAUCAACAAGUGGGUGUUUUGAUGGCCAUAAUAAUGCCUGACCACCUGCCAUCGAUGGAAAGCUGAAUACCCCAAAAGGGGACCUCGUGAAACUAAAGAGAAACAAACAUACUCCUUACCCUGCAGCCCUCACGUCUGAGGUGCCAUACGCACAGUCAAAGCUUCUUCAAGAUCAUCUGCUUAUCUUGAGUUUGUGAUGAUAUUAAUAUUGAAUGUUUAAAUGAUCUGAAUCUGCCAGUACUAGGGUAGCAUGAGACAAGAUUUCUAAGAAUAAGUAAAUGUGCCCUAGCCUAGGUUAUUAUGUCCAUACACAUAACACAUGACAAUCCCCAAGGUACUCUUGACACACCUCAUUCAUGCUUCAGGACAAAAAGGAGUACCCCUAUAAAGGGUGGUUUUACCCACACAUAUAUAUAUAUGUAUAUUAAUGCCAUAGGGGUGUCAAGGGGGGUACCAAAUAAUUUUAAGGUAAGAAACUAAGUUUGAAUCUAUUCUCCCAAGCAUUACGGCUAAUAAAAUCUGAAUUGGAAGGGAAGAGGUUUAUACAAUAAACAGGAGACCUUUUUCUUACAGGACAUGUAUGACUCAGCUGAAUGGGUAGGUGCCACGCACAUGACUGUUAAUCCCCUCAAACCACACAUUAGGACUUUAAAAGACAUGGUAGUCAUCCCAUAUUUGAGGAUAAGAGGGCUGUAGAGACAGGUUUCU